rnacentral:tRNA from 1 species
CAAAGAAUAGUUUAGGUAGAGCACUAGCUUUGGGAGCUAGGAGUGGGGGUUAGAGUCCCUCUUCUUUGA